CGUGGAUGCUUUAAAAUAGAUGAAAGUCUUUGAAGUUCGCCGUUAGUCAAAACUUGCAAAUAAAUAGCUAUGAUUUCUGAUUGCAAUGGUCAAACGGG